GAUGAAGAACGCAGCGAAAUGCGAUAAGUAGUGUGAAUUGCAGAAUUCAGUGAAUCAUCGAAUCUUUGAACGCACAUUGCGCCCUUUGGUAUUCCUUAGGGCAUGCCUGUUCGAGCGUCAUUUGAAACCUCAAGCUCAGCUUGGUGUUGGGUGUCUGUCCCCGCCUCCGCGGGGACUCGCCUCAAAAUCAUUGGCGGCCGGUACGUUGGCUUCGAGCGCAGCAGAAACGCGAACUCGAGGCCCGGCGGAUCGGCGACCAGAAGUCUCUUCUUCACAGUUUGACCUCGGAUCAGGUAGGGAUACCCGCUGAACCUAAGCAUAUCAAUAAGCGGAGGA
rnacentral:misc_RNA from 1 species